rnacentral:lncRNA from 1 species
UUUUUUUUUUUUUCUUUUUAGGCUGAACCUGCAGCAUAAGGAAGUUCCUAGGCUAGGGGUCAAACUGGAGCCAAAGCUGCUGGCCUAUGCCACAGCCACAGCAAUGCAGGAUCCAAGCCACAUCUGCGACCUACACAACAGCUCAGAGCAAUGCCAGAUCCCUGACCCACUGAGUAAGACCAGGGAUCAAACCCUCAUCCUCAUGGAUACUAGUUGGAUUCACUUCUGCAGCACCACAAUGGGAACUUCUGAUGGGCAAAUCCUAUACCUCCUAGAUACUGCUCCAGUCCCUACAAUUGAGCCAUUUAAUUGCUCUGUGCAGCAACAGAAAUAGAAAUAGAUCAGUCCUAUUUCUCUGUAUUUUUGUUAAGGGUGAACAAUCACUACUUACACCUAGACUACAGAAUUUGAGUUUUUGGGAGUUCCCGUCGUGGCGAAGUGUGGUUAACAAAUCUGACUAGCAUCCAUGAGGAUGCAGGUUUGAUCCCUGGCCUUGCUCAGUGGGUUAAGGACCCGGCGUUGCCGUGAGCUGUGGUGUAGGUCACAGACGUGACUUGGAUCCUGCGCUGCUGUGGCUGUGGCGUGGGCCAGCAGCUACAGCUCCAAUUUGACCUCUAGCCUAGGAACCUCCAUAUGCUGCGGGUAUGGCACUAAAAAGAAAAAAAGAAAAAAACAAAAAACAAAAAACAAAAAACAAUUACACAGACCAAAGGGGACUACAGAGUUGUGACAGUAAAGCUACAACUUUGGCCCCAAGUUCCUAGAGGCAUAAAAAGAGAAACAGCUACCUCCAUAAGAAGAAACUAUACCCUUUUACCUGAUUUGCUCAAGACUGCCCAAUUAAAAGGCAAAUGGCUUGGGGCUGGCAUAUGUACACUUGGUAUACAGAAUGACUUGUCCAAUGGGGUCCUGCUGUACAACACAGGGAACUCUACCCAAUAUUCUGUGAUUAUCUACAUGGGAAAAGAACCUGAAAAAGAAUGGAUAUGCGUAUAUGUAUAACUGAAUCACUUGGUGCACAGCAGAAAUUAUCACAACACUGUAAAUAAACUAUAUUUCAAUAAAACUCUGAAAAAUGGAAAAAAAAAAAAAGGCAGGUGGCUUCUAUUCUACCAAGCUGCUUAACAUGCAAAUAUUCUUCCACAUAGUUAGCAUCCCAUUAUCAGCAUGGAAUGAUAGAAACGGACCUGAACAAUGAAUCAAGAAACCUAGUCAUUAGAGUACUAGCUCUUCUGCUAACUGCAAACCCAAGGCAGAUCAUUUAAAUUCUCUGAGCCUCACUUUCUUGACUAUACAUACAGUAGGUGCGGUUCACGGAGCCAGGGUCAACAAUACAGAGCUUUUGUGCUAUCAUUCUUCAACCCAGCAUACCCUGACAGACAUUGACAAUUAAUCACAGAAUUUUUUUCUGCUGAAUCCCGAAGAGACCGCAAAAUCUCGCUCAACAGUGUCCUAAGAAACCACCAAUGAGUCAACAUGGGCAUUCUGACCCUAGAGGUACUUUAGAGUACCUCCAGUGCACUCAUGCUAUCAUGCAUACUAUCGUGCAGUGAGCGUGGUCUCUGGCAUGGCUUGUGGCAUCCUUUCUGAAUGAGAAAUGCUGAGGGGGGUUGACUAAAGCUGCUAAGGCAGGCAGAUAUGGAACAAAACUCCUUUUGGAGUUAUUUUUAAACUGCUAAAAAUACUUGGAAAUAUUAAAAUUAAAACUCACAGGAGUCAAAAUACACCGCUGAUUAAAAUAAAAUACUUCCAAAUGAUCUACCAGAGGAAAUCCAGGAAAGGCACAGCAGCAAUGUACCAAGCGGAAAAUCUUUAGAAGCAAUUCAAAUUUCAAAGACUCUUUCUUUUGUUCUAUUUUAGAAUUUGUAGGAUGAGCAUUUCUACAAAUUGCUCUACACAAAAGUAGAGAGAAUAGUACAACAAACUUGUGUGCACCACCACUCAGUUUCUACAAUCAUCAACAUUUUGUCACAGGAUUUAACUUUUAUUUUUUGGUUGGGCGGUUUUUUUUGGUUUCUAGGGUUGUACCCACGGCAUAUAGAAGUUUCCAGGCUAGGGGUCUAAACCGAGCUACAGCUGCCGGCGGUAUACCACAGCCACAUCAACGCCAGAUCCGAGGCACGUAUGUGACCUACACCACAUCUCAUAGCAACAUCAGGUCCUUUAACUCACUGAGUGAGGCCAGGGACAUCCUCAUGGAUACUAGUUGGGUUCAUUUCCGCUAAGACACAACAGGAACUCUGUCAUAGGAUUUAACUUUAAAAGUCAAGCCUUCUGGAGCUAGACUUCAAAUUCUUAUGGUAAAAUACAGCUUCCUCCAGAAAUACACUCACACAUACAUUAAUGUAUGGACACACACACCCAUUACAAACAAUAACUUUCCAAGUAAUAUGGAGAAACAAGCUGGAGGGAUAUCUGUUCUCUAGACCUUUGCUACUCAAAUGGUGGUCCCUGGUCACAGUGUUGGUAUUACCUGAGAGCUUAUUAGAAAUGCAAAAUCUUGGGCCCAUUUCAAAUUUACUGAGUCGUAAUUUGCAUUCUAACAAAAUCACCAGGUUACUAGUCUGCACAAUAAGGUUUAAAAAAGUACUGCUCUACUCUGGACCACCAUAACUGUCCCCUGCAAAGCUUUUCCUAACUGACUCAGAGGAGCCGGGCAAGAAACUGAAGUGUGAAAAAUAGUGUCCAUUUCACUUGGAAGAGCAAUGUGCCAUUAACUAAGCAAAUUUAAAGGUAUAUAAUUUACGACCUAGCAAUUCCACUUCUCAAUACCUACACUGGAGAAAUAUUCACCCAUAUGCUUAAGUAGGAUGUUACGAAAAUGUCUAUCACAGCAAAAAAGAAACCUAAGUACCUAUCAAAAAGUGAAUGGUGAAACAAACCAGUACAGAACAGUCAGCAGAGGUUAAAGUGAAUGAACCAGAUCAUGCAAAGUUCUUCUGAACAUGUUGAGAGAAAAAAGUUGCAAAAAGUUCCCCUUAGUAUAACAACAUUUGUUUAAAACAAAAGAAAGCAUGUGCAAAGGAAGAGCAAAGGUCUGGAAGGAGAUACCAAAAGGAAAUGGUGGCUACAUUUGGAAAGAGAUAAAGAGAACUGGGAUUAGAGGUGGAGUAUUGAAGGAAGAUUAUAAUAUUUUACAUAUUUGCUUAUUUAUUGAAAAGAAAAUGCACUCAUGUAUCACAUGUGGGACAAAUAUUUUUUAAGUGGCUCUAUGAUUUCUUAUACCAAAUGAGCUUAUGUAGAGAAAAUAUGGUCAGAGUAAGGGUACACAAAGAUGGAUAGAAAGUUUAAAGACCUUUGACAAACUGCAGGUAUUUAGAAAUGAGUUUUGUUUGCAUGGACCAUUUUCUCUGUUUUCUUCAAUUCAUGCAUACACCUGGUACAGCAAGGCAUAUUUUGCAAAAUUUAAAAAUGUCUUCAGAGUUCCCAUAAUGGCCCAGUGGAAACGAAUCCAACUAGUAACCAUGAAUUUGCAGGUUUGAUCCCUGGCCUUGCUCAGUGGGUUAAGGAUCCGGCAUUGCUGUGGCUGUGGUUGGCAGCUAUAGCUCCGAUUCAACCCCGAGCCUGGGAAGUUCCAUAUGCCGCCGGUGUGGCUCUUAAAAAAAAACAAAAAUUAAAAAAUAAAUAAAUAAAAAUAGAAAAGUCUUCAAGAGUAGUAUGUUCAUUUUCCCGUGUACUUCAUAUUUCCUUCAUCUGUUCACCCACUAUUUGAAAACAGCUUAUAUAUGUGAUUGUUUCUAUUGCUGCAUGUUCUACGUUCCUAGUUUAACAGAUGAUGAUGCACACCAGCUAAAUGAAUAACUCAUGAGUCUAAGCAUAAUAAUAGCUUUUAAAAAUUCCAAAGAAGUAGGCAGAGCACGUAUUGUCCUAAUUUUAUAGCCGAAGAAAGGCUCAGAAAAGUUGGAUGAUGUGCCCAAGGACCUUCUAGCUAGGAGGUAGCAAACCCAGACCUGGGCUCUCUUUGUGAUUCCAAGUCCUCUGUCCUUUCAAUUAAUUAUACCACACCUGCCAUGCCACCAUAUAUAAAGAUGAUACUCACUUAUGCUUUUAGGCAAUUCUUUAGAUAGCUUUAGAUUGGAAAUUCUCAUGAGAAAUAUUAGAAUUCAAAUAAUAUGCACACUCUGGGGAUCUCAUAUCCAGUUAUUUACUUUGAGUUCCUUUUCCAAUACCUUGCCUUGACCAGGCCAAGGAGAAAAGACUGAAAAAAGUACCACCACACUCUCCCCAUCAUGAAGUAGAAAAAGGAUGUACUCUAGCCACUCUGAGUUUUAAAGCUGUGUCUGUUCUAAUGUAUAUGGGAAAAAAAGUAUAAAAGUGGAUAAUACAUACCCAUCUCCCAGCUUCACCAAUUAUCAUUGUCCACUAGAAAAAUCCUACUGAUGGAGCUCCCGUUGUGGCUCAGCUGGUUAAGAACCUGACAUAGUGUCUGUGAGGAUGUGAGUUCAGUCCCAGGCCUCACUCCAUGGGUUAAGGAUCCAGCAUUGCCACAAGCUGUGGCAAAGGCUGCAGACAUGGCUUGGAUCUAGUGUUGCUUUGGCUGUGGGGUAGGCCGGCAGCUGCAGCUCUGAUUCAGCCCCUUAGCCUGGGAACUUCCAUACGCCACAGGUGUGGCUAUAAAAAAGGAGAACAAACAAACAAACAAAACUAAUGACAAUCUGGUUGUCUAUCCUUAAUAAAGGAAAGUGGUCAGAUACUUGGAAGCUUCUCAGGGGAGACAGUCUCAAUCUAAUAGGCUUUGUGAAGUUAAAUGUUUUUUUAAAGUUUGAAGUUAACAGGGUUAAAAGCUCACACACUAGACCUUAGAUAUCAAGAUAAUACAACUGACUUCUCGAUCCUCUUAAGCACUAUGGCUACAGAAGAGCUGUUCUGGACACACAUGCCUCUAUUUAUAGCGGCGAGCACCAAGUCUUAUGGGAAAAGCUCCUAAACCAUUUAAAAAUCAAACUAUUUUAAGCAUCUUACAACUUUCUAAGAAUUUUUGUUUGUUGGUUUUAACAUUGUUCCCAAAAGUUGGGUCAUAAAUUGUGUAUGUGUGCUUGCGCACGCGCGUGUGUGCCUAUUUUGGGGAAAUAUGCAAGAUGAGGUUAGUGGGUUUGAAGCAUUAAAGUCUCCAUGGAGAGCUCUACCAGGGAUAAAAUCCUGGGGGUUCACUGUAUGGCUAAGAAACGAAUUAGCUGCCUUAAAAUGUUUUAUUUUUUUUAAAAGAAUUGGGCAGAAUUUAUAUACUGUUAAAAAAAUCUGAGUCAAGCACAGCUUCAUUUCAAAUAUUAGGCAUAUUUCCCAUAACCGUUUAAAACAUAUAUGUACUGAUGUUGGGAACUUACUAAAUUUAAACCCUGACAUAGCAGAGUAAGGCAAGUCCUUCCUCCUUCUUUCGGGGAGGGAAGAGUGAAAGAGAUUGCCCCAGUAGAGAGGACUUUGAAAAACACCCUCUAUGUGGCAGGAACUAUUUAAUCAUGUGAGAAUUUCUAGCCCUCCCCCUUCUUUUGGAUGAGUGAGAAAUUGUUGAAGAUGUUUAAAACCUGCUUGGGAUGGCAUCUAACUUCCAACAUUAGUCUGUCUGACUACCCCUUCUAUUACACUGAAAUACAACUAGGCCAAUGGCACCAUGUGUUUUCUUCGGUCUUAAAAUGGGUUUUACUGACCAUCCCAUUCCUGCUUGGAAUUAAUCUUUGGAUCAUGGCUUUCUCUAAUGUGCCAUGUUUUGUUUUGUUUCUCAUUUUUGGCUGCCCCGCAGUAUAUGGAGUUCCCAGGCCAGAGAUCAGAUCCGAGCUGAAGCUUUGGCAACACUGGAUACUUAACACACUGUGCUGGGCCAGGGUUUAAACCUGUGUCCCAGCACUCCCAAGAGGCCACCAAUCCCACUGUGCCACAGUGGGAGCUCCUAACAUGCCAUGCUUUUAAAGUUCACAUUCAGUUAGGUGGUCAGCAAAAAAUACUUAUUCCUGGUCAUUUUAUUCCAUCACCAGAAGCUCAGAAUUGUAAAUUGGUGGGCACAACUAUACUGGUCUUAUCUAAAAAUAAAUGCAUGACUGAGUCCCCACAGCGAGUAGAAUAAGUCAAAAAAUAUGAGGCGUUCCCGUCGUGGCUCAGUGGUUAACAAAUCCAACUAGGAACCAUGAGGUUGUGGGUUCCAUCCCUGGCCUCACUCAGUGGGUUAAGGAUCCAGCGUUGCUGUGAGCUGUGCUGUAGGUUGCAGACGUGGCUCGGAUCCAGCACUGCUGUGGCUCUGGCGCAGGCCAGUGGCUACAGCUCUGAUUAGACCCCUAGCCUGGGAACCUCCAUGUGCCACAGG